rnacentral:rRNA from 1 species
AUACGGAGGGUCCAAGCGUUAUCCGGAUUCAUUGGGUUUAAAGGGUGCGCAGGCGGGCUUGUAAGUCAGUGGUGAAAUACUGCCGCUUAACGGUAGAACUGCCAUUGACACUGCAAGUCUUGAGUAUGGUUGAGGUAGGCGGAAUGUGUUGUGUAGCGGUGAAAUGCAUAGAUAUGACACAGAACGCCAAUUGCGAAGGCAGCUUACUAAGCCAUUAUUGACGCUGAGGCACGAAAGCGUGGGGAGCGAACAGGAUUAGAAACCCCAGUAGUCC